rnacentral:lncRNA from 1 species
ACUUUAGUGAGCGAGCUCAAUAACCCGUCUCUAACCAAUCUUGUCAUUCCAUCCUGCCCAAUAUGACCAAGACGUGCAUGCCAUUUAAUUGAAACAUUGUGAUCAUUCUCAACAGAAGAUAGCAGGAAAAAAGAAUCACUAUUAUUAAUAUUAUAAUCAAUGUCCAAAACCAUAAAACCAUUCGACAUAAAACCUCUUCCAUAAUAAAUAGUUUCAAGAUGAAUCUUAACUACAUCACUCUCAAAACGAAAAGAAAAGCCUAACUGUAGCAUA